rnacentral:lncRNA from 1 species
AAAGGUAAAUCUUAUUAGUGUCCCAGCACGCUAACCCUACUGCCCAACUGCUACUGUUGCAUGCUUUCCUGCCUGGCUUGUGCUUCCCAGCACUGAGGCCUGCACCUGCAUCCCAUGGCUUUUCCUCUUCAGUGUUUUUCUUUGGUUGGUUUGGGCUUUUGUUUUUGUUAUUGUUGUUACUGUAGUUUAGUUUAGUUUUCUUUCUUUGUGUUUGUAAAGUUCCCUUUUUAUUGACAGAUCCUAUUCCGGACAGCUUUGCUGUCCUGCCCACAGCACCCUAGGAAGCACCCAGAAGGAAGUAACACUUACGAAUGGCAGCCAUCACACAGAACUGUUUGUCAGAAGGACACUCCGUUGGGCCCCUUCUCUGCUGGGAGCUGGACACCAGACGACAGCCCCACUCUGGCUUUCUUAUGCCUCCUGGGCCGAUGUGGCUCAGAAGUCUGUGUUCA